rnacentral:rRNA from 1 species
UACGUAGGGUGCAAGCGUUAAUCGGAAUUACUGGGCGUAAAGCGUGCGCAGGCGGUUGUGCAAGACCGAUGUGAAAUCCCCGGGCUUAACCUGGGAAUGGCAUUGGUGACUGCACGGCUAGAGUGUGUCAGAGGGGGGUAGAAUUCCACGUGUAGCAGUGAAAUGCGUAGAGAUGUGGAGGAAUACCGAUGGCGAAGGCAGCCCCCUGGGAUAACACUGACGGCUCAUGCACGAAAGCGUGGGGAGCAAACAGG